rnacentral:rRNA from 1 species
UACGUAGGGUGCAAGCGUUGUCCGGAGUUAUUGGGCGUAAAGAGCGUGUAGGCGCCUCAUCAGUCCGCUGUGAAAGUCCAGGGCUCAACCCUGGGAUGCCGGUGGAUACUGUGAGGCUAGAGUCCGGAAGGGGCGAGUGGAAUUCCUGGUGUAGCGGUGAAAUGCGCAGAUAUCAGGAGGAACACCAAUGGCGAAGGCAGCUCGCUGGGACGGUACUGACGCUGAGACGCGAAAGCGUGGGGAGC